rnacentral:rRNA from 1 species
AACGAACGCUGGCGGCAUGCCUAACACAUGCAAGUCGAACGGAACCUCCGGUUUGGGGGUCCCCGGGUUGCGUAAGGGGGGGGAACCUGCCCUUAGGUUGGGAUUAACUCCCCGAAAGGGGUGCUAAUACGGGAUAAUUUCUUCGUACCAAAGAUUUAUCCCCUUUGGAUGGUCCCGAGUUGGAUUAGCUAGUGGGUAGGGUAAACCCAUACCACGGCGCGGAGCCAUAGCUGGUUUGAGAGGAUGAUCAGCGACACUGGGACUGAGACACGGCCCCGACUCGUACGGGAGGCGGCAGUGGGGAAUAUAGGAGCAGGGGCGAAAGGCUGAUCCAGCAAUGGCGGGAGAGUGAUGAAGGCCUUAGGGUUGUAAAGCUCUUGUACCCGGGAUGAUAAUGACAGUACCUGGAGAAUAAGCUCCGGCUAACUCCGUG